rnacentral:rRNA from 1 species
ACGCACGCUGGCGGCGUGCCUAAUACAUGCAAGUAGCACGCUGAAGGAGGAGCUUGCUCUUCUGGAUGAGUUGCGAACGGGUGAGUAACGCGUAGGUAACCUGCCUGGUAGCGGGGGAUAACUAUUGGAAACGAUAGCUAAUACCGCAUAAAAUUGAUUAUUGCAUGAUAGUCAAUUAAAAGGUGCAAUUGCAUCACUACCAGAUGGACCUGCGUUGUAUUAGCUAGUUGGUGAGGUAACGGCCCACCAAGGCAACGAUACAUAGCCGACCUGAGAGGGUGAUCGGCCACACUGGGACUGAGACACGGCCCAGACUCCUACGGGAGGCAGCAGUAGGGAAUCUUCGGCAAUGGACGGAAGUCUGACCGAGCAACGCCGCGUGAGUGAAGAAGGUUUUCGGAUCGUAAAGCUCUGUUGUAAGAGAAGAACGAGUGUGAGAGUGGAAAGUUCACACUGUGACGGUAUCUUACCAGAAAGGGACGGCUAACUACGU